rnacentral:rRNA from 1 species
UAAGGAAUAUUGGUCAAUGGACGCAAGUCUGAACCAGCCAUGCCGCGUGAAGGAUUAAGGCCCUCUGGGUUGUAAACUUCUUUUAUAGGGGACGAAAAACGGGAAUUCUUUCUCACUUGACGGUACCCUAGGAAUAAGCACCGGCUAACUCCGUGCCAGCAGCCGCGGUAAUACGGAGGGUGCAAGCGUUAUCCGGAUUUACUGGGUUUAAAGGGUGCGUAGGUGGGUCUGUAAGUCAGUGGUGAAAUCUCCGGGCUCAACCCGGAAACUGCCAUUGAUACUAUAGGUCUUGAAUUAUCUGGAGGUGAGCGGAAUAUGUCAUGUAGCGGUGAAAUGCUUAGAUAUGACAUAGAACACCAAUUGCGAAGGCAGCUCACUACGGAUGUAUUGACACUGAGGCACGAAAGCGUGGGGAUCAAACAG